UACGAAGGGGGCUAGCGUUGUUCGGAUUUUCUGGGCGUAAAGCGCACGUAGGCGGAUCGAUCAGUCAGGGGUGAAAUCCCAGAGCUCAACUCUGGAACUGCCUUUGAUACUGUCGAUCUGGAGUAUGGAAGAGGUGAGUGGAAUUCCGAGUGUAGAGGUGAAAUUCGUAGAUAUUCGGAGGAACACCAGUGGCGAAGGCGGCUCACUGGUCCAUUACUGACGCUGAGGUGCGAAAGCGUGGGGAGCAAACAGG
rnacentral:rRNA from 1 species